rnacentral:rRNA from 1 species
GAGUUUGAUCAUGGCUCAGGAUGAACGCUAGCGAUAGGCUUAACACAUGCAAGUCGAGGGGCAUCACGGGAUUAGCUUGCUAAUCUUGGUGGCGACCGGCGUAAGGGUGCGUAACGCGUAUGCAACUUGCCUGUCAGUGGGGAAUAACCCGGAGAAAUCCGGACUAAUACCGCAUACACUUUAGUUUCUGCAUGGGGACUUUAGGAAAGAUUUAUUGCUGACAGAUAGGCAUGCGUUCCAUUAGAUAGUUGGUGAGGUAACGGCUCACCAAGUCAACGAUGGAUAGGGGAGCUGAGAGGCUUAUCCCCCACACUGGAACUGAGACACGGUCCAGACUCCUACGGGAGGCAGCAGUGAGGAAUAUUGGUCAAUGGGCGAGAGCCUGAACCAGCCAAGUCGCGUGAAGGAAGACGGUCCUAUGGAUUGUAAACUUCUUUAGUAGGUGAGUACAAGCAGUUACGUGUAGCUGU